UUAUUAUGACUCCCGCAAUAUACAUAUCUAACAUGGAAUAAUAUAGCGACUAUUAACAUGGUCUUUGAGCAAGGAUGACACCAAAAGCUUGAGACUUUCCAUUGUUUU